UUCUUCACCCACGGGGCUUCUCCGGCACGGGGCUUCUCCGAGCACGGGGCUUCUCCGGCGGCUCGGGGCUUCUCCGGCACAGGGCUUCUCCGGCACCUGCCUCCUGCUGCGUUGCCAGCUGCCAGAGGCUUCUCCCAACACCUGCCCCAGGCUGUAAUUUUAGCGGGGAGCCUCUGAGAAUGCGGGACCACCCAUUUGGGUACCAGUCAGAAACACGAAGCCCGCAACUGACAGUCAACCAGAACCAGCUGAACCAGACUGAGAGUCCGCCUUGUUAGCAGACGCACCUGCCCUAUCAUCCUACCCUGAGAAUCUGCCCAGAGCCACAUCCAUUAUUGUUUUAUACUCCACCAGCUCUGGUCAGCCACUGGAACGGCCCACAGCCUGCGUGCGGUCACGCCAGUCCUGAUUACCACUGUUCCUCAUUCCUACCCCCAUCUGAGCAAGCACUCCUGUGGUCUCCUGUUUUGAGCGCUGGUUAGUCAAUGACGGGUGCAUUAACAGGGAGCUGGAUCAGAAGUGGAGCAGCUGAGUCUUGAACCUGUGUGGGGAAAUCAGUUACACGAAGCAAUUCAAAGAUGGUGUCGAGAGGAAGUAAGGAGUGCUGGUGCUGUUACAAAUUAGGUAAAGCUGCCGCCUGCAGUGCCGGCAUCCCAUAUGGGCACCAGUUUGAGUCCCGGCUGCUCCUCUUCCAAUCCAGCUCUCUGCUGUGGCCUGGAAAAGCAGUGAAAGAUGGCCCAAGUGCUGGGGCCCCUGCACCUGCGUGGGAGACCUGGAAGAAGCUCCUGGCUCCUGGCUUCGGAUCGCCACAGCUCGGGCCGCUGCGGCCAAUUGGGAGUGAACCAGCGGAUGGAAGACCCCUCUCUCUCUGCUUCUGCCUCUCUGUAGCUCUGUC